CUGCUCGCCUCAGCAGCACAUAUACUAAAAGCUGGAAAAACAGGAAGAAGAUCAGCACGGCCGCCGUGCAAAAAGAUGACAUGGAAAAUUCGUGAAGCAUUUACUUUUUUA
ensembl:snRNA U6 U6 spliceosomal RNA